GGAGGGAUGUCCGAGCGGUUGAAGGAGCACGCCUGGAGAGCGUGUAGACGGGUAACCGUCUCGUGGGUUCAAAUCCCACUCCCUCCGCCA
rnacentral:tRNA from 1 species